rnacentral:rRNA from 1 species
CAGCCGCCACGGUAAUACAGAGGAUGCAAGCGUUAUCCGGAAUGAUUGGGCGUAAAGGGUACGUAGGUGGCCUUUUAAGCGUAGGGUAUAAGGCAAUGGCUCAACCAUUGUUCGCCCUAUGAACUGGAAGGCUUGAGUGCAGGAGAGGAAAGCGGAAUUCCUAGUGUAGCGGUGGAAUGCAUAGAUAUUAGGAGGAACAUCAGCGGCGAAGGCGGCUUUCUGGACUGCAACUGACGCCGAGGCUCGAAAGCCAGGGGAGCGAACGGGAUUAGAUACCCCGGUAGUCCCUGUCUCUUAUACA